rnacentral:rRNA from 1 species
AUGAGCCGAAUAAAGGUAUUGGCUCAAUUAGGACAAGUCAUGGCACUAUGCAUUAUGCGAGGGGUGCAGCCACUUCAAUAUCGAGGCCACCCCAUGUGGGAUUUCAACGGGGAGGAUGACGCCACCCAUUGUGGCCGCAAGGGGCCGGACUCGACCGCUGCCCUAGCAAAAAUCUUGUCCGAUUUGUACAAGGGAGAAGGGGAGGAAUUCCUCCGCGUCAAUCCACAGGGUGGAUUUUCUAUGUACAAUCCUCCGAGUUGGGAGCUGCGUAAGGCUGUAAAGGAGAUUAGCGGCCCGCCUCCACAACCAGAGGAUCCUGAGCGAUCCCUUGACCCGGCCUCCAAAGAGGAUCCGGACAUAUCCGUGGAGCUGAUUGAUAGGGUGUUCUACCAAUUAAGCAGCAACGAGGCCUUGGUGGCCAUUACGGCCGAUUACCCUGGGCUGCUCCCAGCUUCGCAGGGAAGGCCCUUGGGACGCCAUGUCGAGCCCGCGGCGACUAGCCACCAAGGGGCUCCGAGGCCGGGCAGGCUAAAAAGGAACGCGGUCCGGACUAAAACACCGGGGCAGAGGAAGAAGAACGCUCGCCGGACUAUAUCCGGAGAGGUCACCAAUCACGCCUCAACCAGUCGGGCUCCAAGGCCGGACACGGAAGCGGAAGGGAAUACGAGGCUCACACCGGAUGCUCCCCCAAUAGAGGAUGCGGACAAAAUAUCCACCGCAAAUUCCAAGGUGGAAAGCGCCAUGAACCACAAGCAUCGCCGAGCCGUUCUCCGUGACGCUUGUUUCUCCCAAGAGGCAUUUGAUGCCUUCAACUCAGGAGAUGCAUACCUCCGUGCUGCUCAAAAUGGUCUAGCAAGAGCCACGAACCAGUAUGUAAAGGAUAUACGGGUUCUUACCGAAAAGAAUGCCCAAUUGUACCAUGAGCUUGAAGAGUGCAGAGCCCAACUUCAGGCCGUACUAGCUGCAGAAGAGGAGUCCAAGAAGACCCCCUCUGAUGAUGCCGGAGGAAAUCCGGAGGAGCAACAUCUCCUACGCCGGCUAAAGGCCGGCGAAAGCGUGCUUACGAGGGUUAGGCAGGAGAAGAAUAAUCUCCAGGAUGCCAACACCCAGCUGAGCGUGGAACUAAAGGAUGUUCGUGCCCAACUGUCAGACUCCGUGAAGGAGAAUCAACGGCUUCGACGCGGCAUUUUUAGUAUGCUAAUAGGUCGUCCCGCGGAGGAAAUGCCCGGGUAUGUGGGUGAUCUUCUACCCGAGCUCUCACAACUGCAUGAACGAGCUCGGCAGGUGAUGCAAGGCAUUGCCCAGGCCUUAUGGCCAUCCGUCUUCGUGCCCGAAGGCCUUGGAGAGCUUGCGGAGAAGCUGAAGAGAGCGCGGCAGCGCUUCCGAUUAUGGAAGAUAUUGGCCUGCCGUCAAGGUGCCAGGGAAGCCUGGGCCAUGGUGAAGACGCGGUAUACCAAGGCUGACCCAAACCACAUGGCCGAGGUCGGACCUGUGGGGCCCGAUGGGAAAGAGAUCCCUGUUAGCCUAGUGUACGGGCAAGUAGAAUUGGCCGCAAAGUAUUCCCAACAGGAUUGUAGGCUAGACGGUCUGUUGGAUAGUAUAGAAGAGGAAUUUAGCCAGUCAAAUUGA